rnacentral:lncRNA from 1 species
UGUUACUGUUUUAGGAGUGGCUGUGUUUACUGCUUAGCAAGCCUCACAAAAUCCUCUGCUGCUCUUUUGGAUGGCCUUGAUUCAGCGUCUGGUGCUUUUCCAAAUGAUGACACAGCUGCAGACAUACACGACUGUACUGUGCACUGUGUUUGCAGCCCUGGGUGUCACUAUCAAAGCCUUGACUGAACUUUUCAGUAUCAGACGCAAAACCGUCACCUCGCAUGUAUCAACAUCUGGCCCUGACCCAUGUCUCAUCUAUUCUAUGGGACCGUGCUGCAGGAGAUCUACAUACCAACGAUGGAUGGAACACACCCAAAUGUUAAUGAGGAUCUGAGCCCUAGGACCAUGCCUCAGGACUACCUGGCAUGAUGACUCAUUGCUGUCCCCAGUCCACCUGGCUGUGCUGCUGCUCCGGUUUCAACUGUUCUGCCUGCGGCUAUGGAACCCUGACCUGUUCACCGGACGUGCUACCUGUCCCCGACCUGCUGUUCUCAACUCUCUAGAGACAGCAGGAGCGGUAGAGAUACUCUCAAAGAUCGGCUAUGAAAAAGCCAAC